AAGUCGUAACAAGGUUUCCGUAGGUGAACCUGCGGAAGGAUCAUUAGCGAAGUUCGGAAUGCAUGUUCGGUGUUGAUGCUGCCCAGCAAUGGGAUGUGCUCACUCGGAUGUGUGUCCCUUCUCUAUCCACCCCACUGUGAACCAAGUGUGUGAGCCGAAGAGAAAUCGGACGCUCGCAUGCAAACCUUUAACAUACCCCAAUUAAGUAUUAGAAUGUACCUUGCGUUAACUCGCACAAAUAUAACUUUCAACAACGGAUCUCUUGGCUCUC
rnacentral:misc_RNA from 1 species